rnacentral:rRNA from 1 species
AGAGUUUGAUCAUGGCUCAGAACGAACGCUGGCGGCAGGCCUAACACAUGCAAGUCGAACGCCCCGCAAGGGGAGUGGCAGACGGGUGAGUAACGCGUGGGAAUCUACCCAGUGGUACGGAACAACCAAGGGAAACUUUGGCUAAUACCGUAUACGUCCUUCGGGAGAAAGAUUUAUCGCCAUUGGAUGAGCCCGCGUCGGAUUAGGUAGUUGGUGAGGUAACGGCUCACCAAGCCUACGAUCCGUAGCUGGUCUGAGAGGAUGAUCAGCCACAUUGGGACUGAGACACGGCCCAAACUCCUACGGGAGGCAGCAGUGGGGAAUAUUGGACAAUGGGCGCAAGCCUGAUCCAGCCAUGCCGCGUGAGUGAUGACGGCCCUAGGGUUGUAAAGCUCUUUCGGCGGGGAAGAUAAUGACUGUACCCGCAGAAGAAGCCCCGGCUAACUUCGUGCCAGCAGCCGCGGUAAUACGAAGGGGGCUAGCGUUGUUCGGAAUCACUGGGCGUAAAGCGUAUGUAGGCGGAUUGUUAAGUCAGGGGUGAAAUCCCGAGGCUCAACCUCGGAACUGCCUUUGAUACUGGCUUUCUUGAGUUCGGGAGAGGUGAGUGGAACUCCUAGUGUAGAGGUGAAAUUCGUAGAUAUUAGGAAGAACACCAGUGGCGAAGGCGGCUCACUGGCCCGAUACUGACGCUGAUGUACGAAAGCGUGGGGAGCAAACAGGAUUAGAUACCCUGGUAGUCCACGCCGUAAACGAUGGAUGCUAGCCGUCCGGCUUGCUUUGCAAGUCGGUUGGCGCAGCUAACGCAUUAAGCAUCCCUGCCUGGGGAGUACGGUCGCAAGAUUAAAACUCAAAGGUAAUUGACGGGGGUCCCGCACAAGCGUGUGGAAUCAUGUGGUUCAAUUCGACGCUACGCGAGGAACCUUACCUGGGCUCGAAAUGCUAGUGACCAGCUGUAGAAAUACGGCCUUCCCGCAAGGGACACUAGUAUAGGCGCUGCAUGGCUGUCGUCAGCUCGUGCCGUGAGGUGUUGGGUUAAGUCCCGCAACGAGCGCAACCCCUGCACACAGUUGCUACUCCGCAAGGAGGGAACUCUGUGUGGACUGCUCCGGAUAACGGAGAGGAAGGUGGGGAUGACGUCAAGUCCGCAUGGCCUUUAUGUCCAGGGCUACACACGUGUUACAAUGCAGGGUACAAACCGUUGCCAACCCGCGAGGGGGAGCUAAUCGGAAAAAACUCUGCUCAGUUCGGAUUACAGUCUGCAACUCGACUGUAUGAAGCCGGAAUCGCUAGUAAUGGCGUAUCAGAUCGACGCCGUGAAUACGUUCCCGGGCCUUGUACACACCGCCCGUCACAUCACGAAAGUGAGUUGUACUAGAAGUCGCCGCGCCGACCGCAAGGAGGCAAGCGCCCAAGGUAUGACUCAUGAUUGGGGUGAAGUCGUAACAAGGUAACCGU